AUCUGCUACCCUUGAGACCUCACUUCACCUCUUCUAAGAUUAUUUUUAAAAUGAACAGAUUGAUUUUUCACAAAAUGCCCCCAUAGAUAAUGGUUUCCUUAAACAAAUAGAAUGUUUAGAAAUCCUGUGCUGUUUUGGCAUCCCUGGUUACCUAUGUUUAAAGGAGAAUUUAGUAGAAGGAAGGGAGUACAAUUCCAGGGCAGCAAGAGUGAGUAAAAAGGAAGUCAGUCAGGGAUGGAGAAAAAGCAAGUGCAAAGUGGGGCAUCAGGAAGCGGGCUACAGCUUCAUGAGAUCACACAGUGGGUUGCUUGGUUGGGCUGUAUGUAAUUAUGGUGCACAGAGUGGUCCACCAAGGAGUGAGGGGGAUGACUUAACGUGUGGGCUCCUUUGCACCUCCUGUCUCUCUUUGGUCCAAGUAGACCUCAAAGAGUGAUAACUCUCUAGCACUCUCAGGCAAAGACCCCUCCAGGCAGCCAAUGGGGAAGCCACAUCCUGAGGCACAGUGCUAUCUCUGCAUCUGGAAGUCGGGGGAGGUGCCAAAGACUCCACAGUCUGGUUGGACUGACUUGAGAAGCAGUUCUGCUACAGCUCUCACUGUGUGGGCGCAAUGGAGGCCAUGCCUGAGGUAGUCACUCCAUAGGAGAAGGUGUGCACCACCAGAGCUGUCCAUUCUGCAAGCAGCUCAGAAGCCAGUCAGGCAAAUCUGGGGAAGCUCAUGAAAAAGCUCACGAUUGUCCUUAUUGUUAUUCAGGCCCCUUUCUCAAAAUUCCAUUUAAAACACACUUUCUGAGGACCUAUUAUUAAUAUUUGCCAGUCUUUCUGCCAUAAGCACUAAGAUAAAGAAAACAGAGUCUCUGGCCUCCGAAUGAACUACAAUUUAUUGUAAUAAAUACUAAGACCCGGCUGGGCGCGCUGGCUCAUGCCUGUAACCCCAGCACUUUGGGAGGCCGAGGCGGACAGAUCACCUGAGGUUGGGAGUUUGAGACCAGCCUGACCAAUACGGAGAAACCCCCGUCUCUACUACAAAUACAAAAAAAGUAGCCGGGCAUGGUGACCCAUGCCUGUAAUCCCAACUACUCAGGAGGCUGAGGCAGGAGAAUUGCUUGAACCCAGGAGGCGGAGGUUGUGGUGAGCCGAGAUCGAGCCAUUG
rnacentral:lncRNA from 1 species